GACGAACCGGUGCGAACGUUGUUCGGAUUCACUGGGCUUAAAGGGCGCGUAGGCGGGCGGUCAAGUCGGGGGUGAAAUCUUUCAGCUUAACUGGAAAAGUGCCUCCGAUACUGAUCGCCUCGAGGGAGGUAGGGGCAUGUGGAACUUCCGGUGGAGCGGUGAAAUGCGUAGAUAUCGGAAGGAACGCCGGUGGCGAAAGCGACGUGCUGGACCUCUUCUGACGCUGAGGCGCGAAAGCUAGGGGAGCAAACGGG
rnacentral:rRNA from 1 species